AGUGAGGAGAACAUCAGACUAAAUAGCUGUUAGAGAGAUUGAGUGGAGAGUCAUGUUGAAUCAGUCAGAACAUGCCCGGUGAACUAUGGGUUUUAUUAAUUGACCUAACAAAAAGGAUCAUGAUGCAAUACAAUAUUAAGCAAUUAUUGAAAGUAGUACAAGAUCUGAUAGUGAACAAGAUGGGGCAAGUGGGAGAAUAGUAGCCCCAGUGGUUGAAACUACCAAAAAGUGGAGUCCAGGCAUGGGCAAGAACUAACACUUGACAUAUACAGUUACCCAUGCGUCUACAAUUCUAUGUAUAAAUAAUGUGUUGUCCAAAGAUGCAACCCAAAAGAAGAGCGUGAAUUAAGUCCUUAAAAAAUUAUAAUUAUUUAUAAUUGAAAAACAAACACUCAAAAGUGUUUGUGUAGUAAAUGAUAAUAUGUAUGUAUAGUUAUAGAAUUUGAGUGUUGAAUGCAAGAUGGAAUAAAUACACGGCACAACAAACACAA
rnacentral:lncRNA from 1 species